rnacentral:rRNA from 1 species
ACGUAGGGGGCAAGCGUUGUCCGGAUUUAUUGGGCGUAAAGAGCGUGUAGGCGGUUCGGUAGGUCCGUUGUGAAAACUCGAGGCUCAACCUCGAGACGCCGAUGGAAACCCUCGAACUAGAGUCCGGAAGAGGAGAAUGGAAUUCCUGGUGUAGCGGUGAAAUGCGCAGAUAUCAGGAAGAACACCCGUGGCUAAGGCGGUUCUCUAGUACGGUACUGACGCUGAGACGCGAAAGCGUGGGGAGCGAACAGGA